GGAGCAGCCCAGGGCCCCAAGGCCCCGGAGGGGAGGCCUCCCUGCUGAGAAGCUCUGCGCCCGGGAGGAAAUCUAGGCCUGGACACUGGGCGCGGGGCAGCCUGGGCCAGUUCCUCUAGGGGCUAUCUCAGAGUCUCGGGUGGCUCCACCUGUUUUUCUAAAGUAAAACAACAAAGACCUGCAUGGGAACCGAACUUACUCCUCAGUGAUCCAAAUGACUUCUUUGCUGAAUUGGACUAGGAGUUCUCAAGUCCUUACAGUGUGUUUCCCCAGGCUCAUCAGCCAUCCACAGGCAACAGCUGCGGCUGGGACGUGCUGCACGGUCAACUGAACGGGGAGCUGGGACGAGGUGCCAGCAAGCACCGCGAUGCAGUGUCCCCACGUAAAUGACCCCACAAGCACAGGACACCGUGGAAUAAGUGAGUGGCGACUUUGGGCUUCAUUUCAAGCAGUGUGGCUUUCUUUCAUUCUCCGAGUCGUGCUGUGUUAGAAGUCCCCAUAUUCAACAUGCGGAGAUGGCUUCUCUCCGAGCCAACUUGGAGCUCGAAUUGCCAAAGAGGAAAGAAGCUCUGCUUUCUGCAGGCAAGAGAGCGAUUCUCCUCUAGGAGCCCCGGCCUCGAGAAGCUGCUCUAGGGAAGCAGGGACACUCACUCUGGUCAAACAAGCUGAGCCCUGUGCGUGCACAUGUGUGUCCAUCCGUCCGUCAGUGGGCGGAUGGGGCCUCCACUCCUAGCAGUUCCCUCCGCACGUGGCUGAGCCCCAGCCCUGCACCUCCCCUGGCAUGGCUGAGAACGGACAGGACACCUCUGCAUUUUGGAACAAGUUGUUUUAGUCCCUCAAGCACAAAGUAGGCCCUGGAAAUGUAUCUGAAGAAAGAAAGGAGAGAAGGGAGAGAGAAAUAUACAGCUAUAGAUAUAGAUUUGGGCCAGACAGAGCCACUUCUAGCCCAGCACUUUUUACAAGAACUAACACUUACUUCUGCCAACAUUCAAAUACAGGUGCCUGGAAGGGACAGCAACAACUUCAGCGAGCCAGGAGCCCACGUCCAGAGGGCCCCCCGGUGCCCCCGCAGGCACAGCCCCUACGCCCUCACACCAGCACUCCCCGUGGGCAGCUGGAAGAGGGCAGCAGACUUGCCUGGGUGGUGCUGUCACCACAUGUCACCACGCCAGCAGACAGAGAAGGACCAUUAGAGGGCCACGGGAGGCGGGUGGGGCCGUGACGGAGGGCACUGCAAGUCAGGUUGGGCUGGGGCUUUGUGGGUGGGCACGGGGAACUUUUCCCAGAGUUUGAGCAUCAGAACGACCAUAUUCAGAGAUUCACAUGAGAAAGCAUCGUAUUUGGGGAAAACUUACAUUCCGAUGUGCCUGGGACAGCCCUAGUUUUCCUGGACAGUCUCAAUUUUUAUGCCUGUUGUCCUGGAUCCUAUUAAGUUAACUUCCAGUUUCACUCUCAAAAGUAAAUCCUGAGUUUAUUGAUUGGAUAUUUUAUGAUAUUAAGGGAUUAUUGUUAAUUUUUUGAGAUGUGAUAAUAGUAUUGUGGUUAUGUUAAAAAAAUAAGUAUGCUUCUUUUAGAGAUACAUACAUAAAUAUCUGUAGACGAACACUGUCUGAGAUUUGCUUCAAAAUCAUCCAGAAGGAAGCCGUUGGGGGUGGCAGGGGGUGGAAGUGAAAAAAGAUUGGCUGAGUUGACAGCUGCUGUGGUUUGGUGACAGAUCCAUGGGAAUUCAUUAUACUAUCCUCCUCUCUAUUUUUAUGUUUGUUUAAAAUUUUCUGAUCUAAAAGUUUAAGAUAAAGUGUCCCAGAUUUUACAAUAAAUAUAGUCACUCUAGUUCAGUCAUUGUCAACAGGGAGACAUUUAGCAAUGUCUGAAGACAAUUUUGGUUUCUAGAACUGGGGGUGGAGUCACUGGCAUCUCGUGGGAGUGGGCUGGAAGAGGGGCUGCCAAACGCUACGACGCCAGGGGCACCCCCAUAACAAAGAUUCUCCAGCCCUGCGUGUCACUUGGGCCGAGGCUGAGAUGCCCUGGGCUGGUGGACUCGUCUGCGCCUUACCCCAAGGUGCAGCCCCACGAGCAGGAAGUGUGCUGCAGCUCUGUGCACGCUGGUCGUAACUGACACCCUAGGAGUGAUCGGGUAGCACUUAGAGGAAUGCACAGUCCAGGAACGGCUGGCAAGGACUUCAAAUAUGGUUAUCUAAAUCUGCUCCCAAGAAUUCAUUAACCAGCUUCAAAGACUUCCUAGAUAAUGUGUCCUUGAUGAAAUGAGUGACAUUCAAGAGAGGUAAUUGGCUGGGAAAAUGGUAGGGGCACCUGUGUUUUUGCUUGAACAACCUAGAUGCCAACCCCACGGAGGGCUGCUCUGAGUCUACCCCAUUUGGUCCUGGGUCCCACCGCCGUCACUCUCCAACUCUGAUAGAAGUUUCUGCUUCCUGAUCCAGCUAGAAAACGGGCAGGUCCUGCCAACAUAAUGUGUCAUUUCUUUGGGAAUGCGGGACACUGAUUACGUGCUUCAACUUGGCGGGCCUGGGCUGGGGGACCGGAUCCGC